rnacentral:miRNA from 1 species
UUCCGCCCUGCAAGCCCGG